CUUUGCAUUGGUCCAGGGUUAUUACAGAUGUAAUACUGGAGGGACAGUGGCAAGCUGAGGUUAAUGGGAUGAGGUUCAACAAGGCCAAGUGCCGGGUCCUGUACUUUGGCCACAAUAACCCCAUGCAGCGCUAUAGGCUUGGAGCAGAGUGUCUGGAUGACUGAGUAGAGGAAAGGGACCUGGGGGUGUUGGUCUAUGCUCAGCUGAAUAAUGAGCCCACAGUGUGCCCAGGUGGCCAAGAAGGCCAACAGCAUCCUGGCCUGUAUAAGAAAGAGUGUGGCCGGCAGGUGCAAAGAGGUGAUCACCCCUCUGUACUCUCGUGAGGCCGCAUAUUGAGUACUGUGUUCAGUUUUGGGCUCCUCACUACAAGAAAGACAUCAAAGCCCUGGAAUGUGUUCAGAGGAGGGCAACAAAACUUGUGAGGGGUCUGGAGCACAAGUCUUAUGAGGAGCAGCUCAGGGAGCUGGGAUUGUUUAGUCUGGAGAAGAGGAGGCUCAGGGGAGACCUCACUGCACUGUACAACUCUACAACCCCUCUAUAGCACUGCUCUCUCUAUUUGGUAAGAUGCUGACUGGCUGCCUCUCUGUGUAUUGGAAAUGGAUACUGUAGAUUACAUCGAAGCCUACGGCAUCAGCAAUGAAAUGGUAAGAGCAGCCAUCUCCAUCUUGGCUGUUCCUGCACCUCCAGACAGUCCCUCUGGCUCUGCCUUCAGACUGCAUGAGGGCUGCUGGCCGGGCAGAGCUGCUGCUGUCCUGCAGCUGUCCUGUGCUGCUCCACACCCCACAACACCUGGUUCCUCUGGCCACCGCUCUCCCCACUCACAUUCCUCGGUCUCUCUGUGCUUGCCAGGAUCUGUUGCAGAAGUUGCAGUUCCUGAACUGCAUUUGCUCACUGUGCAGCACUGCUGGAGAGAAAGGCUGGACAAAGAGCUUGCCUAUCUUCUGCAUUGUACAAGAUCUGUCACAGAAGAUUGAGGUUCUGUUGUGUGAGGAGCCCAGCGAGCAGCUGAGCACAGCACUCAGAUACCACUGCAUGAAUGCGAUUGCUGCCCUGAGUGCAGUGAAUGCAAUUACGGAGGAAGAGAUAUUACAUCUCUUCAACGUGUGCUGCAGUGUCAUCUUCUACGUUCCUCCAACCAGCGACCUGAACAUUUGCCUCUACAACAACGUAUGUACUGGGCAAUGUGCUCUGUUUCCUUCUGUUGCAGCCCUUCAUCCAAGCCAGCAUUCAUCAUUCCUAAGAACCUAG
rnacentral:lncRNA from 1 species